rnacentral:rRNA from 1 species
AGUUCAUAUCGACGGCGGUGUUUGGCACCUCGAUGUCGGCUCAUCACAUCCUGGGGCUGAAGUAGGUCCCAAGGGUAUGGCUGUUCGCCAUUUAAAGUGGUACGCGAGCUGGGUUUAGAACGUCGUGAGACAGUUCGGUCCCUAUCUGCCGUGGGCGCUGGAGAAUUGAGGGGGGCUGCUCCUAGUACGAGAGGACCGGAGUGGACGCAUCACUGGUGUUCGGGUUGUCAUGCCAAUGGCACUGCCCGGUAGCUAAAUGCGGAAGAGAUAAGUGCUGAAAGCAUCUAAGCACGAAACUUGCCCCGAGAUGAGUUCUCCCUGAGACUAUAAGUCUCCUGAAGGAACGUUGAAGACGACGACGUUGAUAGGCCGGGUGUGUAAGCGCAGCGAUGCGUUGAGCUAACCGGUACUAAUGAACCGUGAGGCUUAACCUUAC